CACUGCCCUGGAUGAGGAACACCCGAACGGCCUGAGUCUCCAUAUCGGUGGCUGUCACCUGGAGGUUACGACGGGCAGGGCGACGCAGUGAGCAGCUGAACCUGCCGGAGCCUGACCACACGCUGCCUCCUACAGGAGGCAGUGUAAGCUGCCGCGGAUUCCCUCAGACUGCUCCACCCAGCACCUAACGACACAAACAGAAAUCUGCAGUUCUGAAAGACAUCCACUGAGAGGCAGUAAAUUGCUUUCAGAUACGAGGCGUAUGACUGGCCCUCUGGGGCCUUCGUCUGGCCGACCAUUGAACCAGCGCAUAACCUGUGGCCCUGCAGGACUAAUGAUUUACCUUCAUGGCUUGACUCAAAGAUAGAGGCUUCCGAAUCAGAAGAGCUGCAAUCAGAAUCUUCACUGCUGGGUGAUUUUUGUGGUCUCUAUUCAAGGGGUGAACAAGAGGUCAAAAGAAAGAAAGAAGAUUUCAGUGUAUACCACGUUUCUCAGUGCCACCAUCCUCUGUACACACUACCAACUAUGAGGACAUACAGGUUACCUUCAUGGUUGCAGAGUUCUUUUGGAAGAUGAACAUCGGUGGGGCAAGAACGUUUUUUUCUGUGGGGAGGGGGACGAAACCACCAGUAGCACAGUUAUUAGAAUUGCCUUUGUUGCAGUUUGACUGAAUGACUGAAGUCCUCCAUUUUCUUUCAUUUCAAAUGUAAACAUUUUAAACCACAACAUUUAUUGUGAUGUAGCCAUAAAUUGUGACCCUUUUCUGGUGACCUAAUUAACACCAACCCUUCUCUGUCCGCAAAGCAGCUCACCAAGUAUUUUAUCAUGGUUUUUUUUCUAUUUGCAACCCUAGCUGUGUAACAUCUGCCGAUAUUCUGAAGAGAUACACAUACUUUAUCAUGUACUUAUUAUUAUGUUUAUGAAGGCCUAUAGCACUAUAGAUUAUUAUUAUGUAUAUUCACAUGUAUUGUGUGCCAUUACAUAUAUUUACAUGUACUGUGUAUUAUAACCCAUAUUAACAUGUUUAUUAUUAUCUAUAACCGUAUUGUGCUGUGUUACGUUCUGCUUGGACCCCAAGGAAGAGUACCCACUGCCAAAUUGUAAAUACUGUCUCCAAAAUAAACAUCUAACCCAAGAA